rnacentral:sRNA from 1 species
UUCAUUCGGUAGGUAAGGCUACCAUAGGGAUACGGGUUGCUGCCGCAAAGUGGUGGAGACACUAUACGCAGGCCAACAGGUGACAUCGAAGUAAGGUGUUACUUAGUGCAAUUUCAUUGCCCUGUGAUGCUAAAGCUUGAACGAUUGU